rnacentral:rRNA from 1 species
CAUGCAAGUCGAGCGGUAACAGACAUAAAGAUUCAGCUUGCUGAAUCCGGUGCUGACGAGCGGCGAACGGGUGAGUAACGCGUAGGAAUCUACCCAGUAGCGGGGGAUAGCCCGAGGAAACUCGGAUUAAUACCGCAUACGCCCUGAGGGGGAAAGGGGGCAGUUUACUGCUCUCACUAUUGGAUGAGCCUGCGUAAGAUUAGCUUGUUGGUGGGGUAAUGGCCUACCAAGGCGACAAUCUUUAGCUGGUCUGAGAGGACGAUCAGCCACAUUGGGACUGAGACACGGCCCAGACAUCUACGGAUGGCAGCAGUUAAGAAUAUUGGACAAUGGGGGCAACCCUGAUCCAGGUAUACCGCGUGUGUGAAGAAGGCCCUAGGGUUGUAAAGCACUUUAAUCAGAGAAGAAGCAUUUUAAGUUAAUACCUUAAUAUGUUGACGUUACCUGAAGAAUAAGGACCGGCUAACUCCGUGCCAGCAGCCGCGGUAAUACGGAGGGUCCAAGCGUUAAUCGGAAUUACUGGGCGUAAAGCGCGCGUAGGCGGUUUAGCAAGUUGUAUGUGAAAGCCCUGGGCUCAACCUAGGAACUGCAUCCAAAACUACUAAGCUAGAGUACGAGAGAGGAGAGUAGAAUUUCUGGUGUAGCGGUGAAAUGCGUAGAUAUCAGAAGRAAUACCAAUGGCGAAGGCAGCUCUCUGGCUCGUCACUGACGCUGAGGUGCGAAAGCGUGGGUAGCAAACAGGAUUAGAUACCCUGGUAGUCCACGCCGUAAACGAUGAGAACUAGCCGUUGGGCAGAUUUAACUGUUCAGUGGCACAGCUAACGCAUUAAGU